rnacentral:tRNA from 1 species
AUAGAUCAGGUGAUCAUCGGGACUCUUAAUCAUCGGGUCCCAGGUUCGAGCCCUGGUGCGCCCACCA